GGGCUUGAGCCGCACCCCCUGGGCGCCUAUAUAGGUCCUGUCCGGGUCAAACUGGACUAUGGCGAUAAACGCGCACGUAAUAAGCGGAUCGGACCCGGGGGCGGUACCCGGCGACUCCACCAAAUACCCGGUCAUUGCGGGUCAUGGGGUCGAAACAGGAUCGACGAACGACUAAAGGUGUUAGCUUUUGCUCGGUGAGGUACCACCGUUAUCGGUCCGAAACGUACAGUUGCCAAUGACAACCGUGCUCCGGCAAUGGCUCUGGCUGCGUAAGCAGUUCGAGUCGCCGAAACUAAGCCCUUGCGCUUAGCAGCGUAAGGCGGGGUCCGCAGGCACCUGGCAACAGAAGCCUGCACU
rnacentral:tmRNA from 1 species